ACUUGAAUUGAAGAGUUUGAUCAUGGCUCAGAUUGAACGCUGGCGGCAGGCUUAACACAUGCAAGUCGAACGGUAGCAGGAGAAAGCUUGCUUUCUUGCUGACGAGUGGCGGACGGGUGAGUAAUGCUUGGGAAUCUGGCUUAUGGAGGGGGAUAACGACGGGAAACUGUCGCUAAUACCGCGUAUUAUCGGAAGAUGAAAGUGCGGGACUGAGAGGCCGCAUGCCAUAGGAUGAGCCCAAGUGGGAUUAGGUAGUUGGUGGGGUAAAUGCCUACCAAGCCUGCGAUCUCUAGCUGGUCUGAGAGGAUGACCAGCCACACUGGAACUGAGACACGGUCCAGACUCCUACGGGAGGCAGCAGUGGGGAAUAUUGCGCAAUGGGGGGAACCCCUGACCCAGCCAUGCCCGCGUGAAUGAGAAGGCCUUCCGGUUGAAAAGUUCUUCCGGAUUGAGGAGGUUGAUGUGUUAAUAGCCCAUCAAAUUGACCUUAAUUCAGAAGAAGCACCGGCUUAAUCCCUGUCACCUCCUAUGUUAAUCUAAGGGUGGGAGGGUUAUUUAAUUACUUGGGAAAAAGGGGACGCGGGCGGUUUUUAUAGAAGCGUGAAAACCUGGGCUUAACCUAUAAUUUCCAUCCUCAAUUACAAAACUAAAUAUUUCAACAAGGGUAAAAAUCACCGCGA
rnacentral:rRNA from 1 species